rnacentral:tRNA from 1 species
GUCCCUAUAGUUCAACGGAUAGAACGCAGGCCUCCGAAGCCUGAGAUGUAGGUUCAAUUCCUACU